AUAUUGUUUAUCACCUCCGUAAUAAUAUCCUUUACUUCUGCUUUUCUAUGCAUAAGGUCUACACCAAAGUGGGUACCAAGUUGUCUGAGGAUAUCAGAUAAAGUCGCAGUAUUGAAAUCUACUUCCUUCAGAAUAUCCACUACAACUGCAUACAUAUUCUCUCUACUGGGUUCCACAUUAGCCUUCCUGCCAGAUUUGGCUUUACC
rnacentral:misc_RNA from 1 species